rnacentral:rRNA from 1 species
GACGAACGCUGGCGGCGUGCUUAACACAUGCAAGUCGAACGGAAAGGCCCUGCUUUUGUGGGGUGCUCGAGUGGCGAACGGGUGAGUAACACGUGAGUAACCUGCCCUUGACUUUGGGAUAACUUCAGGAAACUGGGGCUAAUACCGGAUAGGAGCUCCUGCUGCAUGGUGGGGGUUGGAAAGUUUCGGCGGUUGGGGAUGGACUCGCGGCUUAUCAGCUUGUUGGUGGGGUAGUGGCUUACCAAGGCUUUGACGGGUAGCCGGCCUGAGAGGGUGACCGGCCACAUUGGGACUGAGAUACGGCCAGACUCCUACGGGAGGCAGCAGUGGGGAAUAUUGCACAAUGGGCGGAAGCCUGAUGCAGCAACGCCGCGUGCGGGAUGACGGCCUUCGGGUUGUAAACCGCUUUCGCCUGUGACGAAGCGUGAGUGACGGUAAUGGGUAAAGAAGCACCGGCUAACUACGUGCCAGCAGCCGCGGUGAUACGUAGGGUGCGAGCGUUGUCCGGAUUUAUUGGGCGUAAAGGGCUCGUAGGUGGUUGAUCGCGUCGGAAGUGUAAUCUUGGGGCUUAACCCUGAGCGUGCUUUCGAUACGGGUUGACUUGAGGAAGGUAGGGGAGAAUGGAAUUCCUGGUGGAGCGGUGGAAUGCGCAGAUAUCAGGAGGAACACCAGUGGCGAAGGCGGUUCUCUGGGCCUUUCCUGACGCUGAGGAGCGAAAGCGUGGGGAGCGAACAGGCUUAGAUACCCUGGUAGUCCACGCUGUAAACGGUGGGUACUAGGUGUGGGGUCCAUUCCACGGGUUCCGUGCCGUAGCUAACGCUUUAAGUACCCCGCCUGGGGAGUACGGCCGCAAGGCUAAAACUCAAAGGAAUUGACGGGGCCCCGCACAAGCGGCGGAGCAUGCGGAUUAAUUCGAUGCAACGCGUAGAACCUUACCUGGGUUUGACAUGGAUCGGGAGUGCUCAGAGAUGGGUGUGCCUCUUUUGGGGUCGGUUCACAGGUGGUGCAUGGCUGUCGUCAGCUCGUGUCGUGAGAUGUUGGGUUAAGUCCCGCAACGAGCGCAACCCUUGUUCACUGUUGCCAGCACGUUAUGGUGGGGACUCAGUGGAGACCGCCGGGGUCAACUCGGAGGAAGGUGGGGAUGACGCCAAGUCAUCAUGCCCCUUAUGUCCAGGGCUUCACGCAUGCUACAAUGGCUGGUACAGAGAGUGGCGAGCCUGUGAGGGUGAGCGAAUCUCGGAAAGCCGGUCUCAGUUCGGAUUGGGGUCUGCAACUCGACCUCAUGAAGUCGGAGUCGCUAGUAAUCGCAGAUCAGCAACGCUGCGGUGAAUACGUUCCCGGGGCU